GUCCAUUUCGACUAUAUUCUUACGAUAAACAUGAGGGCGAAGUGGAGGAAGAAACGUAUGCGAAGACUGAAGCGCAAAAGAAGGAAGAUGAGGGCAAGGUCGAAGUAGACUAUCAUCUUCUCGGCAGUAGACAAGCAUCGUGAAACGCGCUGCUACAACACCAACCUGAAAUCUACAUAAACCUGACGCUUUGAAGACCAUGCAAAGACGAAUGACCCUGCGAACUGUUUCUUAAAGAAACGCCCAAGGUGGUCUUGCCAAUAUUUGCGCAUGUUAAUCGUGUAAUAACUAAUUGAAAUUACAAGCUCCAUUCCUUUUCACUUGUCGUCAUGACUAGUAAGCGGUAUGCUUUGGGAUUUUAUUCAACAUGUCUGCCUGAUGUGAAAGACUAUGUAUUCAGUGCUGUGAACUUGUCCAGCAAACCAUACUGUAAUUCCAGUACACAGUUUUGAAGAUUAAAAUGUCUAUUGACGAUUAGAUAAA